GUAUAUAUAGCUCAGUGGUGGAGCGCAUGCUUAACAUGCACAAGGUCCUGGGUUCAAUCCCCAGUACCUCCA
rnacentral:tRNA from 1 species